ensembl:lncRNA C-X-C motif chemokine 9-like
AACAGGAAAUACUUUAAGGAGGGAAAGUGAGGAAGAACAAGAGUACCGUUCUGUGCAAACACACUCGAGAGACAUUCUUGUGAAUGACACAGCUUUAGAGAAAUGGCUUUCAGGACUCUGCAAUCAAAUGUCUGCCUGCUUCUCCUAAUCUCAAUCUGUUUACACUUCAUCACAGGUACAGUAGCAUAUUUAAAUACUUAUCAGGACAGUUUACAGAUUUUUGUCAGAUAUCGGUCAUGGAGGUGAUGUGGGUUUACACAUGGUUUUAUGUUUCUGGCUUUAUUUUUAGAUAACGGGACCACUGCAAUGUCCCAUCGUGAAAAAUGUGAGUGUGUUGAGGAAACUGGCUCAGUGCAAUGGAGAAAAGUUACAGACUACACGAUCAGACAGAAAGAACCUCUUUGCAACAAGGUUCAAAUCAUACUCCAGCUGCCAGGUAAACAAGCUUGUCUAAAUCCAGACUCCAAGCAGGGGGAAAAACUGCAAAAAUGCUGGAAAAAGAUUAAAUUCAACACACAGAGGAGGAAGGUCUGUCUGCAGCUCAAGAAGAAGAAUAGACCAAAAAAGCCCAAGAGGCUGUAAUUCAACAGUCUCUACCUUUUCUGUAUAGAAAGACUAUGGGCCCUAUUUUAACGAUCCAAGCGCAUGGUCUAAAGUGCACGGCGCAACUGCACUUAAAGGGAUAGUUCACCCAAAAAUGAAAAUUUGAUGUUUAUCUGCUUACCCCCAGGGUAUCCAAGAUGUAGGUGACUUUGUUUCUUCAGUAGAACACAAACGAAGAUUUUUAACACAAACCGUUGCAGUCUGUCAGUCUUAUAAUGGAGGUGAAUGGGAAUCACGGCUAAAACAUGCAAUAAAACAAAAAAAAAACACACACCAAAAAAAACAAAUUAAACGCUGCGGCUCGUGACGAUACAUUGAUGUGUAAAGACACAAAACGAUCGGUCUGUGCAAGAAAAUGAACAGUAUUUACAUAUUAUUUUUACCUCUGAUUCACGCAAUGUCCGAACUCUUCCAACUGUCCUGAGCGCGUUCUCAACAGCAGGUCCACUUGAGAGAUAGGUGGUGGUAAUCCACUUUUGUUUAAGGACGGGAAAAAUGGUCGGCGCGCCCCAUGCAUGGUCUAAAAGGGUUGUCCCUAUUCUCUCAAUAAGUAAUGUGUGUGUUUUGGGCGUAAAGUGCCACAAACCAAUCAGAGUUUCAUCUCCCAUUCCCUUUAAAAGCCAGUUGCGCUCGCGCAAUGGUGGAUUCGCUAUUUACAUGGCGGAAUUAGCAAGCGGAAAAACUGAACGCUUCUUUAGUGAGGGAACGGAUCUGUUUGUGUGCGUAAUUCUGAUACAUGCAAAGACUAUCCAUUAUGACAUGUAGGCAUUUUUAUAUUUAUGUACACAAUAAUAAUCUUUUACAUUUUAAUGCUUUAAUUUUUCAUUUAAAAAAAUGUUUGUGCUGCUGCGCAUCCCUGUGUGUGUAAUAAGCAACGUGUACGCACGUUGUUCACCCGCCUAUAGGCGCAUAUUGCUAACACCAUUAUGACAUGCAGGCAUUUUUAUAUUUAUGUACACAAUAAUAAUCUUUUACAUUUUAAUGCUUUAAUUUUUCAUUUUUAAAAAUGUUUGUGUGCUGCUGCGCAUCCCUGUGUGUGUAAUAAGCAACGCGUACGCACGUUGUUCACCCGCCUAUAGGCGCAUAUUGCUAACACGCUCUUUAAAUAACAAAAAAAUAAAUAUAAAUAUUGCGCCAGACUUUAGACCAGUUUUUUGUUGGUCAAUGGCGCAGUCUAUUUCAGUUGCCUCAAAAUAGCAACGCGCCAGCAAUGUGUCUGAACACACCUCGUUUUCAGACCAGCACACAUAUGAGCUCACGAAUGAGUGCAAAUGCAUUUGCUAUUUAAACAACGUGGCGCAAGACGUGAAAAUGACAACUGCGUCGGGCUGAAACUAGCAGAAAAACUCUUGCGUCGCGCCUGGCGCCGCAUUGCGCCAGGUGUAUGACAGGGCCCUAUGUGUCUUUGACAUUUAUCCUGCCUGCUUUUUAUUUGCACAGAUAAAUGAUAUAUGUAUUAUGUAGAUGGGAUUUGUAUAUAUUUUGUACCGUUUUUUUUCU